UCCUUCCAUAGCGCGGGUGCCCCGCAGUGACGUGUUCCAAUGUGGACAGCACGGAUUGGCCCCGUGGCCAGAAGGCGGAACCAGGAGCGCGGUUUCUGGCGCGGUCUUAGUGCCAGUCGAAUACAAGAGCUGCCGGAGCAUUGCUGACCCCGCCCCAGGCGCAUGCGCCGCAGCAGCUGCUAUUGGAGAUGCUGCGGGGAAGCCUCAGCGUUGGGAGCCUGAGCACCAGCCCACACAGCCACCGAACUGCACUUCGGACCACGACUUCAGCUGCCCCGGUGAGGGCGUGAAGCUCUAGCCCCUGGUUUACAGCUGAGGAGCUAGUACAGGACCCUGCAGCCCGUGUCCUCAACAACUUGGGCUCUGGCCCCUGCAGUAGUUUCCCCACAGAACAUCCCGUCAUGUUCGAGCAGCGCCGGGGCCUAAGCCCACCUCAGCUACAGCUGCAGGCUGAGGCCUGGGGGCAGCAGGUCCAGGGAACUUUUUCUGCCAGAAGGGGAAGCUCAUGGAUGUAGAAAACAGGAGCUUUCACAGUAGCUGCUCUGAGCCUGUGGAGUGAACUGCCUGAGGAAGGAGGGACUUUCCCACCCUCCCCAUCUUCCAGGCCAACAGCCAGGUGCACUUCUCCAGGCUCCCUCGCUACUGCAGCCAGAGCUCAGAGACCAUUUAGAAAAAACCCCAAAGCCCUUGGUUGCUCACAGCCCUCCCCGGUGAUAAAAACCAGUGCAGAAGAAAGUAACCUGCCUAACUCCCACAGUAAGUCUCACUGAGAUAGGAUUUGAACCCAGGUCACUUGCAGUUCAGGCCACUACCCAGUUCUUGUCUUUCGAGGGUCAGACCCCACUUUCUCCUGUUCCAAAAGCAGAGGCUGCUGGCACUGAAGGCAAAGCAUCAUUAGCUAUAUAAGGAGGAAGCGGUCUGGUCUAGUACAUCUAGAAUUGGUACAUAUUAGCCUAUUCAUGUAUAGUGUCAAGUCAAGUCUUGUCCAGAAAGCGAACAAACAGGCAAAUCCUGACAAACACUAGGCUUUAAACCCCUACACAGCUGAAGACAGAUAUGAAGUAGAAGGGAUUUCCUGCUUCCAUGAUGUCCAUUUUGGGGGUCACAAAACAGGCAUAAGGCAGCCCUAGGCCACUGCCCUUGUAAGGGAAGAGCCUGGGCAGGCAUAGGGCCUGUUCUACACCCCCUGAGAGAGACACUGCUGUUGGAGGAGGCCUGGUCACAGGAGAGGGUUCUCAUGACAGCCAUUCCCCCACAGUGCAGAGGGGCUAUUGCAGGCAGGGUGCAAGUGGGAUCAGCUCUGACAGUUCCUUUGACCUUCAGCGAGGUGUACAUUUUCCCCUGGCAGCUCUAGGCUAGGGAAAGCACAGCCACCUUCCCCACCCGCACAUAGGGCUCAGCACAUGCUGACAGAUGAAUCACCCUUUCUCCCCCCCAGGUAAUCUACAAAUACUACAAUUACACUGCACUGCAGGUUCUCAUUCCUCUUGUUUUUAAAAAGGAGUGUCUGCUGUGUUUCAAUUAACACACACCAGCCCAAGGAAUGUUCUCUCCCCUCCUCUUUUUAAAAGAAAAACCUCAACUCCAACAGGCACUUUUCCACAGCUCUGCCCUCUGUGGGGAUUGGUGUAGGGACCACAUCCUGCACUUAGCAGCAUGAGAUGUUCCAUUUGCUUUUCUUCAAACUAAAUCCAGAGGUUUGGGAAAUACCAAUGUAGAAUCCCUGUGCACCUGUAGAAAGCAGGAUGGGGUUGGGGUUGUUCUGCAGAGAUUCGCCUUGAAGAGAGACUUUUAGAAAUCAUUUCCGUGUUGAGAUUGACUGUGCAAGCUGGCAAAAUGCUAAACUACUUGGUUUACUGCAAUUACCCUUUAGAAACUCUGAUGCUGUUCUUACUGUCUAGCAAGAAUGGUUACCUCCUGCUGGGCUGACCCCCCACAUCUGCAAAACUCUUUAUUUUUAAACACAGAGCCUGCCCCUGAGAACAGGUUUGACUUCCCCACUAGGUCCACCUUAGUGGGAGUGCGGAAGUAACAUUGGCUGUAGCUGACAUGUACAGGGUUUGUACGCUGAUUUGUCAGUGUGGUCGUGUUGUUUAAAGAGGCACAAGACUUCCCCAAAUUUAGAAGCAUCAGAAGUGGCUCCAUGAAGUUGAAUCCCAAUAAAAAAAAGCUGAUAUUUACACCUUCCUGUCUGCAACCCAAACAGUGCAGCACUGUGCUACCACCCAAGAACCAGCGAGACCAACUGACCUGGAUAUUGGAAAGAUUUAAGAUGAUUGGAGCAAGAACAGGGGAGGUAUAUUUAUUAGCACUUAACUUUAACAGUGAUACAGAAACUACUGUGUGAUUCUAGAACCCAACUCCAUCCCUCAAAUUUAAGACAGGGCUUUUAGCUACCAGACCCACCUCCCUAAUAUUAAAGAAGAUCAUGGAGGAAUCAACUAUACUGAUGGGGUUCUGGAGAAGAAAAAAAAAAUAUAUGGAGGCAGUGAAUGCUUUUUAAAUGCUGGUAGUGCCUGCCUACAAUAUACAAGCCCCUCCCUAAAUGAUCUCUGCUAAAUUUACUGAUGUGAUACUGCCAAUUGUAAAAAUGAUCUUGUCCACUCAGUUCCAAAAGUCCAGCUUCUGGGACUAAUUAGAUUGUGAAUAAAGAGCUUAAGUAAUGUAGUGUCUCCACAUUGUCCAUAGACUGGCAACAAAAACAGAAGUUCUUUAAGAACAACUCCAGGUUAGACAAGAGAUGAAAUAUUGCUGAUGGAAGUGGGGGGUUGUAUUUUUCCUCUGGUUAUCCAAACUUGCUGUUAUUUAUCCAGGCAGAAUGUGAUAGCACUGGUCUACAUACAGCUCGCUGUCAUUCAGGAUCUUAACCUAACUGAAUUGGGUUUUCUGCUGCUUUCUAUGUGCACAAAUCCAAACAUUUCACCAUCAUCAACAAGACAACCCAGAGCCCUCAAAGCUUUAGGGGAUUUUUGUACAGAACUUGCACACCAUGUAUCCAGUCCUAACUCUGGGUACAGGAGGAGGGAUGAUCAGUCUAGGUGGCUGUGGAGUUUAUGGCUGAGAAGCAUAUUGCACGAACCAGGCCCACUCUAGCUAGAACUAAAUACAAGACUCCUUGGUUUUCAGUGCUGGCUUCCCCUGUUUGUAGUCAUUUAUUCCUCACUGCUUCUGUCUCCUUUCAGGAGGGAUUCUGUAUUCAAAUAAUCCCAGCCUUGACUGGAAUGCAGACUGAUGAAAGGAGUACUCCAGCAGGGCACUACUAUCAAGAUUUAAUUGCACACCGGAGGAGAGGGGUGAAGUAUGUCAUUCAGUCUGCAGGCAGGGGGUGCAGAGAAAUGAAUGCACUAGCAAUUUAUGAGAAGCCUAAUGUUUCAUCAGGCAGCCAGUUUUCCAUCUUGCUUCCCUGAAUCAUACAGCAAGCUUGUAAUCCAUGCUUAGCACAUACUAGAAGCCAUGACAUGUCUCAAACCACAGCACUCAGUGAUGGAGGUUGCCAUGCUCUAACAGGCCCCACCAACUAUUACCCACUCCAUUUGGAAUUAAAGGAUGGAUUUACAGAUUAGCAGCAAAGAAAGCUAUUCCUAGGGCAGCACCUGUACAGUUUGGGCUGGUUGACAACCUUUCCCCCAGAAUCUGCAGUAUGGCAGGUGUGGGUCAGAGACUGUGGUGUUGGCAGAGCUGCAGAUGGAGUGACUUGCAAUGUCAGGAAGAGGUCAUUUAAAUUCACGUUUAUAAGCAAUCAAAAAUAAGUGUUUUUAAGGCUACUUGGCAUGUUAGUUUAAAGACUCUUCCCCAUCUCUCCCUGCCAAAAACACUCAAACUCAUGACUGAGGUUUCAUCAGAAGGUGGCAAUAGCUGAAGAGUUGGGAGCAGUUUGGAAUUCUCCUUGGUAGCAGAGCAUUCCCCCACUGCAAUAUCAAAUUCUGAUUCAAGAAGAGCUGGACAGAGGGACUCAAGAUUUCAAAAAACAAAAAAACACAGUACCUUGUUCACUGCACUUUCCUCUAAUAAAUCUGACUUAUGUUCUCCAA